ensembl:snoRNA
CCCCCCUACAAAGGCAUGUCUGUGGUUCUCCAUCUACGGACACAUGAGAACUGGAGGCAAAGCAAUGUGGAUUUGGAGGAGUCUGCUUGCCUUCCGCGGGUUCCCGCUCGACUAUCCCAUAUAG